AGACUAAUUUAGCUGAAAACAAAUCCUUUAAGAAGACAAUAAGGGCAAAGUGUCUUGUCAUAGUCUAAUACGCGAUAAAACGAUUACGAAAAUAAAUCUGUCCAAGUCAAGUUAUCCCUAGAUAAUCAUAAUCAGGGCA